UGGCUGAGCGGUAAAGCGCUUGGCUCCAGAACCAUGGGUCCCGGGUUCGAAUCCUGG
rnacentral:tRNA from 1 species